rnacentral:rRNA from 1 species
AAACCAACCGGGAUUGCCUUAGUAACGGCGAGUGAAGCGGCAAAAGCUCAAAUUUGAAAUCUGGUACCUUCGGUGCCCGAGUUGUAAUUUGGAGAGGGCAACUUUGGGGCCGUUCCUUGUCUAUGUUCCUUGGAACAGGACGUCAUAGAGGGUGAGAAUCCCGUGUGGCGAGGAGUGCGGUUCUUUGUAAAGUGCCUUCGAAGAGUCGAGUUGUUUGGGAAUGCAGCUCUAAGUGGGUGGUAAAUUCCAUCUAAAGCUAAAUAUUGACGAGAGACCGAUAGUGAACAAGUACAGUGAUGGAAAGAUGAAAAGAACUUUGAAAAGAGAGUGAAAAAGUACGUGAAAUCGUUGAAAGGGAAGGGCAUUUGAUCAGACAUGGUGUUUUGUGCCCUCUGCUCCUUGUGGGUAGGGGAAUCUCGCAUUUCACUGGGCCAGCAUCAGUUUUGGUGGCAGGAUAAAUCCAUAGGAAUGUAGCUUGCCUCGGUAAGUAUUAUAGCCUGUGGGAAUACUGCCAGCUGGGACUGAGGACUGCGACGUAAGUCAAGGAUGCUGGCAUAAUGGUUAUAUGCCGC